AAUUAGAGGACGGAACGGGCAGCCGUCGCCCUUUGUUUGGAGAUGUGGGAAAAGCCACCCCACCUAAUU
rnacentral:ncRNA from 1 species